rnacentral:lncRNA from 1 species
GUGCAUUAAAUUUAAUAACAAUAAUAUGAUAAUAUAUCAAGGAACCCAUGUUUUCACAUGAAAGCAACUGCACCUGCAACUAGCAACGCUAUAAGAAGGCUGAGCGAACGGUAACAUAGGCAAACAAAAGUUUGCUGGGAUGUGGAGGGGGUUAGAGGCUUUUCAUGGCAAUGCUGUUAGGCUUGACAUAACAGGUGGUUGGCAGCUAUACAUAGAAAUAGAAACAAGAUAACUAGCAUGGCAAUGAUUGUAAUGGUAUCUAGGGAAAUGAUAUCUUGCAUGUGAUCCCGCUUGGAAGAAGAAUGAAUCCGUGAAGUAGAAGAACCAACAUAGUCGAACGAAUCCUCACACUCCUAAGCGGAUCAGAACUCUAUCAAGAAGAAGCAAUCCGGACAACCAACACACAAUAAACACCACAACAUAUUCAUAGCAUGAUGUGCACGCAAUUGUGAUGCAUAUCCAUUUAGUUAUGCAAGACACGACAAGCACAACAAUCAACUUCUACACAUUAAGUAAAGCUCAAUAUGCAACGAGUUGCAUAUCGUUGAAACUCCAUAUUUGAAUUACUUAGUUCACUCCCUUUUAGGUACACAACAAUGUUAAAUGUUGUUAAACAUGACAAGAGGUGAAGCAUAAAUAAAUUACCUAUCUAGACAUUUUAAAUGAGGUCGGAAACAACAUAUAACAUUUCUGAAAUGCCCCAUAUGUUAAUUUUGAAAUUAGUCCAAAUCUGAACUAAAUAUAUUUUAU